UUCCGUCCAUGCAGUUGACAAAAGCCUCCGUACGCUCUCGCCCAUGUUCAUAUAAGGAACAGUCCCGGAGGUGUUCUUGAGCAGCACCCAGAAGACAGUGACUUGUAUUCUGUGUCCUCCUAGGUGUCGCGAAGCUGAAAAAGCGGGGGCCCCUUCUUGAAACGAGGCAGCAGGCUGGUGCUGAGGUGGCCGUAGGAGCACAGGACACAGGUGUCCCCGAGGAGGAAAGAAGGCGGCACCAUCCUGUCCGGAGUCACCAGGCUGUUGCUGAGGUGGCCGUAGGAGCACGAGAAGAAGGUAUGUGUCCUGGAAACUGUUUCUUGAUGAGGAAAAUGUUUCGGAUGAGGUGUAGUUGGGGCAUUCUUGCUGUCUUCAGUCUGGAGAGUACCUGGAUAUCAGGGUCCUGGGGGGACUGGUGCUGGAGUAUGGGUGGGAAAGACCGACAUCCCCGGUGAAACCUAUGUCCAUGUUUCUAUAGUAUGAGAAAGACAAUGGAUUCCUUCUGUGCGGUGUGAUUGUGUGUGCAUGAGUCUUGGGGUUGUUCUGUAUCUCUGUAUGUCGCAUGAUUGUGAGUGUGUAUGCGUG